ensembl:lncRNA
GAGUGUGUGUGUGCACGAGUGUGUGUGUGUGUGUGUGUUGGGUUGUUUUCUGUUUUGUAUAAACAGUUGUGUAAAGUUUUAGUCUGAAGUUUAUAUUUGUAACACUCAGUUUAUGGAUUUUAUUUUAAAUAAACAAAAAAAAGGGUACUGAAAGUUUGCCCCGCCCCCAUCCGAUUAAUCGAAAAAAUCAUUGUUAGUUGCAGCCCUAAUUUGUUUGUCACUGAUGUCUAGAGAUGUGAGGAGGUUAAUAUUAAUAUGUUAAUGUUUAUGUUAAUAUUAAAGUUAAUAUGUUAAUGUUAUGAGUGAGAUCUAUAAACAUUUUAUUUCUAAUUUUAAUUUAUUGGAGACUUAUUAUCAUGGUAAAUUUCCUUCUUUCUUUCAUUCAGAUCUGUCGCGCUAACCCAGUUGUAAUUCUGAUCUCAGAUCUGAUCAGAAACUGGAUUUUAGUCUGGUAUAGUUUAGAGGCCUGUAACUGCACCGGCGUUCCCUUCCACUCCUGUCUCAACCAUCAUCUAAUCUAAUCUAAUCUAAUCACCAUUAUCAGAGAGGAUAUGCAUUAUGUCAAGUGAUUACAAUUAAAGUCCAUGUGUAAAUACAGUGCUGUGAAAUAGUAUUUGCCCCCAUCCUGAUCUCUUCUGUGUUUGUGUACAUUUCACAAUAAAUUGCUUCAGAAAUUAAAACAAAUCUGAGAUAAAACAAAGGCGACCUGAGUAAACACUCUAUACAGUUUUAAAUGAUAAUGUUAUUUAUUGAAGCAAAAAAGUUAUCCAAUACCAAUUGGGCCUGUGUGAAAAUGUAUUUGCCCCCAAAUCUAUGGAACUGCAUUGAUAACUGGGGUUCAGCUGGACGAGACACAACCAGACCUGAUCACUGCAAACCCUGUUCAAUCACAUCUACACUUACAUAGAACUUUCUCAUCAGCAGGAAGUUGGUUAAAAGAUCUUACUCAGUAACACACUGUGGCAAAGUUGAAAGAGAUUCCAGAAAUGAUGAUGAAGGUGAUUGAAGUACAUCAGUCUGGGAAGGCUUACAAAGCUAUUUCAGAGGCUCUGGGACUCCAAAGAACCACAGCGAGAGCCGUUAUCUCCUAAUGGAGAAACUCAGCACAGUACUGAACCUUCCCAGAAGUGUCCGACCUUCCAAACUUCCUCCAAGGCACAGCAACGACUCAUCCAGGAAGUCACAAAAGAGACAAGGACAACAUCAAAGGACCUACAGGCAUCUCCUGCAUCAAUAAAGGUCACUGUUCAUGACUCCACGAUCAGAAAGACACUGAGGGAAACGGCUCCAUGGAAGAGUGGUGAGGUGAAACCACUGCUAACCCAGAAGAACAUUAAGACUCGUCUGAAUUUCACCAAAACACACCUCGAUGAUC